GGUCUACCCCGGAAGGUGCUUCGCCUCUCACCUGGGUGGGGACGGCUGCAGGGCCAUCUAGAGCUCACUGAGGCUUGUCAUUGAAAAAAAAAAAAAAAAGUUGGUAUAAAGUGAACCAGGCCUGAAGUCCCGAAGUGUCACUUCCGGGAGCCAAAGCAACCAGCUGCAAUUGUAGUUUUUUCUCAAGAGAUCUAUGGAGAACAGCAUGAGCAUCAGCUUCAGGGUAACUCAGUGGACUGCUUGACAGUUGUUUUGUCCAGGGACAGCCAAGGUAGCAAGAGAAGUCCAGCAGCUGCCAGUUGGGUAGUUAAAUUAACACAUCCUCCAGUGUCUUUGCUUAAUUACAAGAAAAUAAACAUCGGGAAUGUGUAAAGUCUAAACACGGAGAAUCUACCAACGACAUGCAGAGUCUUUAAGGAUGCUUUAAGAGUGCUCAACACGAAGGUGCCCUUCACACACACACACACAAACACACAUAUACACAAGCUUUGUCUAGCCCACCUUCACAUUCGCCAGGGAAACACUCUUUAAACUCAGUGAACAAACACAGCUUGAAGUGACUCACACAAUAAACAAGAGAGCAGCUGACAGAGUUGGGAAGAAUGUAUUUUUUUUUUCAGAUAGGCUGGAGAUAAGAAAAUCAGGAAAGCUGGCUGCCUCCUGAGUUCACUUGUUUAUGUGACAAAUGCUUUUUUGAAUAAGCACCAUAUGCCAGUGACCCUUAGCCACAAACCUGGCUUUCUUCUUCAUACUGACUCAGUUGUCUACGGCAUUUGCCUCAGCCCCUCCUCCCCUCCUCUGUGGACCUCUUCUGACUGGGAAAUGCUUCAGCUCCCACAGCUGUAGGAAAGGGACACGCUUUCAAGCUCUGGACAGGAGGGAGCAGCACGGCCCUACAGACAGGCAGUCCCAUUUCCUCUUCAUCAGCUGGAACCACGCCUGGCUGGACUGUCCUCUGCUGGAGCUGCCCUCGGAGAGAUUCUGCACAUCUGUGACUCACUUCAAGCCAAUUACACCAGGCCAGGGGCACAAAUAGCAUGAACCCACACAACUGACUCCAUUGUGGAAGUGCUGUUCAGGCUACAAAACUCAGCCCGUAGAUGACAACACCUGCCAAAACUACAACAAAGACCUAACCCAUCAAAGACCACAGUUCUGGGAAAGUCUCAAACUGUACUAACCUUGCUUUAUGGCUUCUGUAGUUUUGCUCUGGCUAAUUGUUCCUGUUAACUAAAAUAUGUCAGAACA